rnacentral:rRNA from 1 species
GAUGAACGCUAGCGGCAGGCUUAAUACAUGCAAGUCGUGGGGCAGCAUGAGUAGCAAUACUUGAUGGCGACCGGCAAACGGGUGAGGAACACGUACACAACCUUCCUUCAAGCGGGGAAUAGCCCAGAGAAAUUUGGAUUAAUACCCCAUAAUAUAUUUGAUAAGGCAUCUUAUUAAUAUUAAAGCUUCGGCACUUGAUGAUGGGUGUGCGGCUGAUUAGAUAGUUGGCGGGGUAACGGCUCACCAAGUCUACGAUCAGUAGCUGAUGUGAGAGCAUGAUCAGCCACACGGGCACUGAGACACGGGCCCGACUCCUACGGGAGGCAGCAGUAAGGAAUAUUGGACAAUGACGAAAGGUAC